GGAUAUAGCUCAGUGGAUAAGAGUGCUUGCCCCACAUGCACAAGGCCCUGGAUUCAAUUCCCAGCACCA
rnacentral:tRNA from 1 species